CUUAUCACAUCCUGGGGCUGGAGAAGGUCCCAAGGGUCCGGCUGUUCGCCGGUUAAAGUGGUACAUGAGCUGGGUUCAGAACGUCGUGAGACAGUUCGGUCUGUAUCCGCUGUGGGCGUUGGAGGGUUGAGGGGUGCGGACCCUAGUACGAGAGGACCGGGUCGGACGGCCCGCUCGUGUCCCGGUUGCCCUGCCAAGGGCAGCGCCGGGUAGCGACGGCCGGUGGCGAUAACCGCUGAAAGCAUCUAAGUGGGAAGCGCCCCCCGAGAUGAACCCUCCCGGAGCUUCGAGCUCCCUGAAGGGCCGUCGGAGACGACGACGUCGAUAGGCCGCCCGUGGACAGUGGGCAACCACCUCCAAGCGCAGCGGUCCUAAUCGCCCGUGCGGCUUGACUAC
rnacentral:rRNA from 1 species